GUAAAAAGGGGAAAAGUAUUGAUGAUUGUAAUACGGUGGCCAUCAUCAUUUGAAGCUAUGUUCUCAACCGAAACAAAAAAAUGCAUUCAGUGUUUAUCACAUCUAAAGCAGCAUUAUCCACUCAGUAAGGUAAGAAGUAAAACAACAAUACAAUAGCCAGAAAAUGAUAUGCCAACAUUGCACUCUUUUAGUAAACACAGGAGGAUGAAUUCUAAACUUAUUUAAAAGGUAACAAUACCCAUCUUUUGGUAAACGCUGUAGCAUGGAUUUUGAUCCUUUUUUAAAAAAGAUAUUUGCAAAUGUUUUGCAUCUGCUGGCAUCGAUGUCAGUCGAACAUAGACGGCGGCGGUCGGGUAAGCACUAAGUGAAUGGCGGCCGGGUAAGCAAGAGGCGUAUGUGCAAAUAUCAGAGAAAAUUUAAAAAAAAAAUCAAAUUCACCAUGAAUGAAACGCUCACCAGUGUUUUUCGCGGUGGAGAUGUCGCCUCGCGAUGACGUAGUUGCCAUGUUGCUGCUGCGCAAUCCAAAUGAAACCCGGCCAGGGAUGAGGAACCGAG
rnacentral:lncRNA from 7 species